GCGGGUAUAAUUUAGUGGUAAAAUGUCAGCUUCCCAAGCUGAAUAUGCGGGUUCGAUUCCCGCUAUCCGCUCCA
rnacentral:tRNA from 1 species